AUUGAACGCUGGCGGCAGGCCUAACACAUGCAAGUCGAACGAGUGGCGGACGGGUGAGUAAUGUCUGGGAAACUGCCCGAUGGAGGGGGAUAACUACUGGAAACGGUAGCUAAUACCGCAUACCAUCGGAUGUGCCCAGAUGGGAUUAGCUAGUAGGUGGGGUAACGGCUCACCUAGGCGACGAUCCCUAGCUGGUCUGAGAGGAUGACCGGCCCCACUGGAACUGGGACACGGUCCAGACUCCAACUGGGGGAAGCGGGGGGGAAUAUUGCACAAUGGGCGCAAGCCUGAUGCAGCGAUGCCGCUGGUAUGAAGAAGGCCUGCGGGUUGUAAAGUACUUUCAGCGAGGGGGCGUUACUCGCAGAAGAAGCACCGGCUAACUCCGUGCCAGCAGCCGCGGUAAUAC
rnacentral:rRNA from 1 species